UGGUGGAACGAUUUGUCUGGUUAAUUCCGAUAACGAACGAGACUCUGGCCUAUUAAAUAGUUCGCCGAUUCCGAUCUGUCGGCGUUAACUUCUUAGAGGGACAAGUGGCUUUUAGCCACGCGAGAUUGAGCAAUAACA
rnacentral:rRNA from 1 species